rnacentral:lncRNA from 1 species
AAAGAUAUCAAAGUCUCGAAGUUUGGUUGUUGUUUAUCUUCAUCAAAGUCUCGAAGUUUGGUUGUUGUUUAUCUUCAACCUUUGGUGAAAUUCUACAACAAAUCAAAAACGCUUUUACAAAAAAUUGAAGAGUCUCGACUUCAAGUAUGUUCUUCUUAUAGUUUUUCUUUUUGUAGUUGGGUUGGUUGAGGGCAUUCAACUAUUUGUUUCAAACUUGCUUUAUUAUCUGUUUGUAUGAAUUUCUUCAAGGACUGUUCCUCAAAAUUGUGAAUUAUAUGAAGAGAAAUUCUAUCUUUGUGUUGUUUGUCAUAUAUUAAAAAUUUUUUUUUAACACUUAAUCUACUGUCUAUUAAAAGAGAGGAUGCCAUUCUACUGUUCAUUUGAAAACUCCCUCACAUAGGCCUGUUGGGGAGAGAUUUUUUCACCCAAAAAAUUGAUUUUUUUGACCGUUAUUUCACUAUUCUAGCUAUCAUAUUUGACUUCUUUUCUUACAGGUGGACCCCACUUUUCUCCUAACGGUCAAAAAAUCAAUUCUCAAAACCACUACCAAACAGGCUCAUAUUCAUUGUUCAUUUGUAAAGCUGUGUGUGGACAAAAUGAGGACAGUUCGAACAUUUCACUCAUACCAUAAUUGUUGACUGGAGAACUAGGAUUUUAUUGUUGGUAGCUUCCAAAACACGUUUGUUUAUCUUUUUCUCACUGUAAUGUUCAUGAAUCCAUUGAACUUUUGCAGAUGUUUUCUAUACCAUUUUUAUAUUUCACUCUUCUUAGACACAAACCCUUGAAAUCUGCUGCAACAUCUCACUUCCUCAGCCAUCUCCUUCACCGUCAAAAGCACAACUUCAGAUAGGAAGGUAAUUAAGCGAUUAGUGAAGAUUUCUAGCUGCAAAGGUUUGUUGUUGUUAAUAAUUUAAGGUUUUCAAUUUGGGUUGUAGUUUUGGU